rnacentral:sRNA from 1 species
UCAAGGGUCAUUUUUUCCAACGUUGGUACGACCUGGCCUGGAUCAGGGACGGCCCUCGAGUGUAACUCGGAGCAAUAUCAUUCGCUGAUGGAUAUCUGGCCUAUCAUGCAUAGCACAUCUCAACCUUGUGGGUUCGUCAUAACAUAAGCAAAUCUGGAUACAGCGACAGCCUUCAGCGCCCUCAUGCUCCGCCCAAUCUCCAUGCACUGGGGCUCACGCUAUUGCGUAACUCCUCACUAGACGUUUCGAGAUUUCAGAACCUGGAUCCGAGGAAUCAAGGCACAAGAAAUCCAAACAUGUUGAAAAACCAGGGAUAAAUCCACGCUACUCAUUGCAAAACCAAGUGAACCAUUUCAGCUGCCAUGUUAAUUUACAUUUGAGGUUGAGCAUGGGCCACGAGAAAUAUGAGGACGUUUUCUUUUCCAUGCUAUCUCGGUCCUCGGCGGGAGGACACGGCGUUGCGUUUUCAAUCUGGUCCUCAGAUUACUCUCCCAGGGAAGUGCCAUCCAAUUUGACCCACUGAGGGCACGAAUCGUCCCGUCGUGGCUUCAUUGAUUAGCGCGGUUUAUCCAAAUUUUUUUUGGGAGCAUCAGUGUCGAUUGGAUGCGCUACCUUGCACAUCAUUCUGCAACCCAGCAUCAAAUCCCUGACUCCAUCGACUGUCAACUCAACCUUAAGAAUCUUACUCUUACGGUACCCGAUUCGUCUUGUUACCCCUCUCGCCUUG